rnacentral:lncRNA from 1 species
AUUCUUCAUUUAAAUCAUCAAGAAGACAUUUAUCUUCGUUGAUUCUUAAUAUUUUUCAAUAUUAAUGCCUCACAACUCGCCGGAAUCAAAGUGUUUCCAUUCAAUUUGCCCGGAAAACACUUGCCCCUCUUGAAUCUACUUCGAACGAAACCCCCACCUUCAGAAUUCGUCGGAAGAUUUGGCCGAAAAAGCCUGCCCCGUCGAACCUACCUAGGACCAGCCCGCGCCUUUAGAUCUCGUCGGAAAAACUUCCCCGCAUUCGUCGUUUUGUAGCCAGAAAACCGUGGUUGAAGAACGCAAGGGCUGAAAAUCCUCAUUAUCGACGAAUGCCAAAGGGGUGGGGUUCUUCAAGAACUUUGCGGCGACAAAGAGAAAUUGGCGAUGGAGGAUGAGAUACUCAUGAAGGCGAAGAGGGAAUAAGCUCUGCUACGGACGGUAUCACCGACGAGAAGAGAGUGGAGGAGGCGGUUGGUGGAAGAAAAGGGGAGGCGGUGGAAAAAGAAAUUUGG